GGAUGAACGCGUGACAGAAUGCUUAACACAUGCAAGUCUACUUGGAUCCGUUCGGGUAGGAUGGUGGCGGACGGGUGAGUAACGCGUAAAGAACUUGCCCUGCAGUCUGGGACAACAUUUGGAAACGAAUGCUAAUACCGGAUAUUAUGUGAGUUUCGCAUGAAAUUCAUAUGAAAGCUAUAUGCGCUGCAGGAGAGCUUUGCGUCCUAUUAGCUAGUUGGUGAGGUAACGGCUCACCAAGGCGAUGAUAGGUAGCCGGCCUGAGAGGGUGAACGGCCACAAGGGGACUGAGACACGGCCCUU
rnacentral:rRNA from 1 species